rnacentral:rRNA from 1 species
UAGCGUAGGGGGCUAGCGUUGUUCCGGAUUUAUUGGGCGUAAAGAGCGUGUAGGCGGCCUGGUAGGUCUGCUGUGAAAACUCGAGGCUCAACCUCGAGAUGUCGGCGGAAACCAUCUGGCUAGAGUCCGGGAGAGGUGAGUGGAAUUCCUAGUGUAGAGGUGAAAUUCGUAGAUAUUAGGAAGAACACCAGUGGCGAAGGCGGCUCACUGGCUCGGUACUGACGCUGAGGUGCGAAAGCGUGGGGAGCAAACAGGG